rnacentral:rRNA from 1 species
GACGUAGGGCGCAAGCGUUGUCCGGAUUUAUUGGGCGUAAAGAGCGUGUAGGCGGCUUUACAGGUCCGUUGUGAAAACUCGAGGCUCAACCUCGAGACGCCGGUGGAAACCGUAAAGCUAGAGUCCGGAAGAGGAGAGUGGAAUUCCUGGUGUAGCGGUGAAAUGCGCAGAUAUCAGGAGGAACACCGGUGGCGAAGGCGGAUCUCUGGGCCAUUACUGACGCUGAGGAGCGAAAGCGUGGGGAGCGAACAGG